CCCGCCUCCUAAUACCAUCACCUUGGGAGUUAGGAUGUCAACAUAUGAAUUUGAGGAGGAUGCAAACGUUCGCUCACCAUAGACAUAGGCCCUUCACUGGCAGGGACUGAGUCUGAUUUGCCUUGGCCCUCCCAGCACCUAAGGUGGUACUUGGCACACAUUAUUUGCUUCAUAAAUGUUUACUGAGUGAAUAAAUGAUUGAACAAAUGAGAAAAACAAAUGGAGAUUCAAGAGGGGAGGCAUAUUUAUGGAGAAAAGAUUUGAAGAAAAAAGAACAGAGAGAUGGCAAAGCUUAUAUUUUUAGUAUCCCUUCAUCUGUUCCUUGGCAACUCCUAUGUGAAGAGUGGCAGAGACAGAGUCAGGAAGCCUCACUCCAGGUUUAGAAAACAUCGUCAGGGUGGCAGAAAAAUCUAGUCCAUUCCUUCCUGCUGACCCAACUCAGCCAGCAGUUCCUUGCUUGGGAACAUGAGGUUCAGAUGCUGACAUUUUAAAACAGCCGUGGCUUAAAUAACCUCAAGAAUUUCAGUAUCCAGAAAUAAAGGGAAGAGAAAAACUGGGUAUGAGACUGGGUAAGUCAGAUACAGCCACAGAAAUGCACGGGGGAAGACCAUAUGUGGACGCGGGGUUUUGCGAUGCGGAGUGAUGAACACCGGAAAGACAACAUCUGAAAACUCUGCCUGACGGAUAGAGAGAAGCAUCCUGGCAAGAGACACGGAGCUGACGGACAAAGAGAUGCACGCCUGACAGAAUUGGGACUGUUCACCCAAAGUGUUUUCCAACAAACUCUCAUCACACUUUGAAGGAAUCAAUCCACAAACCUCUAUGGCAUGGAGAAGCUGGCAGCUCCUGUUUUGAGGACAUGGGGCAAGAGAUAUGAAGAAGCAGGUCCCUGAGCGAAUUCUUCAGAUACUUCCUUUUAGCCACAAACGUAAGGAGUUCCAAACCCAAGUGGAAAUGUUAUGCCCACUAGCAAAAGCAUGCAACUUACUCAGUUUUGGUCAAAUGGCAAAGACUCUGGACGUCAGACACUUGAUUCUCACAGUCAGGUGGAGUCCAACCGAUCCAGUUUCCUACACAUAAAAUGAUUACCGAAACAGUUCUUCAAUUCAACAGCUUAUGAAGACAGCAAAAAGAUUUGAAAUGGCACAACUCACAUUCUAAGAUAAGUAACUACCACCUC
rnacentral:lncRNA from 1 species